GUUUCCGUAAGGCCAGAUUCUUGGGCAAAGUUGUUUUAGCGAUCUGGUUGCAACUAAGGUAUCCUGUAAGAACAAAUUGCUGCCUCCUCCAGGUGGAAAGGGAUCAAAUAUAAUUAAUCUGUGUGUGCCACACAGUAGCUUGAUAGUUUAAUUGAGGAAUGUUGACAUAUUGAGAGCUCAGCAUUACUUUCUGCUAUCAGCAGUGACGGAUAUGGAUUCAUUUCUACAUAAAUUUACUCCACCAGCAUUUACUGAUCACCUACUCUGAGAAAUCACUCUCUAAACUCUGGGGAUGCAGUUCUGAGGAGGAUACAGUUCUGUCUUCAGAAAAUGCUGAUGGAAAUAAUUUUAAUGAACAGUAAUGGUAAAAGGAGAUAAACGAAAACAGAAUCAAUGUGUGCAAAGUGACAGAAAAGCCAGUGCCUGGGAUUCUGAGAUGCAGCCACAUCAUAAAGUUUCAUUACUCAAUUGCAGUAGAGAAAACCUCAAAGGAACCACUUCUAAUGGAAACUGCCUCAAUUCCUGGUCAAGUCUCACAGUCUAACCUGGAGGUGCUCUGAGAUGUGACUAAGUUAAGGAUUUUGAGAUGAAGAGACCAUCCUGAAUUAUCUGAGUGGGUCCUGAAUGUCAUCACAAGAAGCCUUAGAAGAGAGAAGCAUGAAAACCAGAAGAGGAGGAAGAGGCAACCGGGCCAUGAAGACAAGAGAUUAGAGUGAUGUGGCCACAAGUCAAGAAGUGCCGGCCUCCAGCAAAAAACUGGAAGUCAGGAGCAGGAUCUCUCCUAGAGCCUGUGGAGGGAAUGUAACCCUGCCAAUAACUUGAUUUUGGCCCAGAGAAACUGACUUCAGACUUCUGGCCUUCAGGAUGGCGAGAGAAUUAAAUCGCUGUUGUUUUUAGCCCAGUAUGUGGUAAUUUUGUUACAACAGCCACAGAAAACUAGUACAGUGGAUUUUUAGCAGUAGAAUUAAAUUAGCAGUGGAUUAAAGAGCAGUAGAAUUGUGAUUUUAUCAACACUUACUGGAUGGCAGAUUUCCUCUGCAGCAGAAGAGAAUAAAAUGUUGCCUAGGUGAUGCUGACCACCAAAACUUCUGCCAUGGACUCAGCAGUGUGAACAGACCCUGGGAAUCUAUGUACACAUAAAACACCAUGAACAUUUUGCAUUUUCUGAUUUGAACUGAAUAGGCGUUCUACUCUGUAAAUAUUUACAAAAAAACUAAAUAUAUAUUUAUGUUAACCCUUUGCUAGAGAUUUUUAAACAAACAAAAAAAUACCAGAUCUUAUUCACCAUUUUUGAUGUCAGUAAAGUGUGUUACGCAAAUUGGCUUCAAAAAUUAAAACCUGUAACAAACUUUGAGUCUUGAAAUGCAUGCUAUGUAUGAUCUUAAAAACAUGUAGGUAGGCUUAUUAGUUCAUAGAGGUUCAUAGUAUUUCAUAUGUUUUUCAGACUAUAUGUAGGGAAUUGCUGACAAAUCUUGGUAUCACUAAAUCCAUUAUCAUGUUCUGAAAUGUCACCAAAUUGAGCCUACAUAUUGUGAAGAGUGAGUGUAUGGCCAUAUAGUGUAUGGCCUCAAGAUUUUGUCUUAUAAUUUAAGUUUCAAUGUCCACACCUCAUCUAAAUUAGGGUACCAUUUGGACUAU
ensembl:lncRNA novel transcript